rnacentral:sRNA from 1 species
AGGGAAACCACUCACGUAGUCUUUCAAUAUGACUUGCUUGUUCGUCGCCGUCAUCGUUGAUUCUCGU